ACAGAUUGUAAGAGAUUGAUGAAUGACACGGUGAGGAGAUAAGAAGACACACUGACUUCCUUGCCUCCUAUGGAAAAUAUGGAUUUCCUGUUGUUGCUCUGGUCAAUAACUCUGAAAACAACACAGCACAACAAAUACCUUGGCUAACCCACUUGCUAAAAGGUUGAUUUGCUAACAUCCGAGUGGCACCUCUGAAAGGAGGAAGCUUCUGAAACUUGACCUCCUUUGCAACCAAACUGCUGCUUCCACUGCCUCCUAGGUUGUUCAAAGGACUGGUUUUUGUCUCACCUCACAGGAAGAAAACUGAUGGAAUUACAAUACUUUGGAUAUCUGGGCACUCAGUACAAAAGACAGCUAAAUAUCUUAAUGGAGCACCAGAGAACCUGCAGUAUUGCAGACAGAUACCGAGGGAGGAAAACAUUUUGAGCUCCCAGAAAAGAAACUGGCAAAUCUCUCCAAUUGAGAAAUUACACCCACAAGCACAGAGAAGACAUAUCCACAGAAAAGGUU